rnacentral:rRNA from 1 species
UUAUACUUAGUGGCGGACGGGUGAGUAACGCGUGGGCAACCUGCCCCGUGCCGGGGGAUACCGCCUGGAAACAGGCGCUAAUACCGCAUAAGCGCAUACAGCCGCAUGGCAGUAUGCGGAAAGCUCCGGCGGCACGGGAUGGGCCCGCGCCCGAUUAGCCAGUUGGCGGGGUAACGGCCCACCAAAGCGACGAUCGGUAGCCGGCCUGAGAGGGCGGACGGCCACAUUGGGACUGAGACACGGCCCAAACUCCUACGGAAGGCAGCAG